GACGAACGCUGGCGGCGUGCCUAAUACAUGCAAGUAGAACGCUGAAGAGAGGAGCUUACUCUUCUUGGAUGAGUUGCGAACGGGUGAGUAACGCGUAGGUAACCUGCCUUGUAGCGGGGGAUAACUAUUGAAAACGAUAGCUAAUACCGCAUAACAAUGGAUGACACUUGUCAUUUAUUUGAAAGGGGCAAUUGCUCCACUACAAGAUGGACCUGCGUUGUAUUAGCUAGUAGGUGAGGUAAUGGCUCACCUAGGCGACGAUACAUAGCCGACCUGAGAGGGUGAUCGGCCACACUGGGACUGAGACACGGCCCAGACUCCUACGGGAGGCAGCAGUAGGGAAUCUUCGGCAAUGGGGGCAACCCUGACCGAGCAACGCCGCGUGAGUGAAGAAGGUUUUCGGAUCGUAAAGCUCUGUUGUAAGUCAAGAACGGGUGUGAGAGUGGAAAGUUCACACUGUGACGGUAGCUUACCAGAAAGGGACGGCUAACUACGUG
rnacentral:rRNA from 1 species